rnacentral:rRNA from 1 species
UACAGGGGGGGGCAAGCGUUGUUCGGAAUUACUGGGCGUAAAGGGCUCGUAGGCGGCCGGCUAAGUCCGACGUGAAAUCCCCAGGCUUAACCUGGGAACUGCGUCGGAUACUGGCGGGCUUGAAUCCGGGAGAGGGAUGCGGAAUUCCAGGUGUAGCGGUGAAAUGCGUAGAUAUCUGGAGGAACACCGGUGGCGAAGGCGGCAUCCUGGACCGGCAUUGACGCUGAGGCGCGAAAAGCCAGGGGAGCAAACGGG